AUUGAACGCUGGCGGCAGGCUUAACACAUGCAAGUCGAACGAGUGGCGGACGGGUGAGUAAUGCUUGGGAAUCUAGCUUAUGGAGGGGGAUAACUACGGGAAACUGUAGCUAAUACCGCGUACCAUAGGAUGAGCCCAAGUGGGAUUAGGUAGUUGGUGAGGUAAAGGCUCACCAAGCCGACGAUCUCUAGCUGGUCUGAGAGGAUGACCAGCCACACGGGGACUACGACACGGCCCAGAAUCCAAAGGGAGGAAGGAGUGGGGAAUAUUGAGGAAUGGGGGCAAUGUGACGCAGCCAUGCCGCGUGAAUGAAGAAGGCCUUCGGGUUGUAAAGUUCUUUCGGUAGCGAGGCGUUAACUACAGAAGAAGCAGCGGCUAAGUCCGUGCCAGCAGCCGAGGUAAUAC
rnacentral:rRNA from 1 species